AGUGAACGCUGGCGGUAGGCCUAACACAUGCAAGUCGAACGGCAGCACAGAGGAGCUUGCUCCUUGGGUGGCGAGUGGCGGACGGGUGAGGAAUACAUCGGAAUCUACUCUGUCGUGGGGGAUAACGUAGGGAAACUUACGCUAAUACCGCAUACGACCUACGGGUGAAAGCAGGGGAUCUUCGGACCUUGCGCGAGUGAAUGAGCCGAUGUCGGAUUAGCUAGUUGGCGGGGUAAAGGCCCACAAAGGCGACGAUCCGUAGCUGGUCUGAGAGGAUGAUCAGCCACACUGGAACUCAGACACGGUCCAGACUCCUACGGGAGGCAGCAGUGGGGAAUAUUGGACAAUGGGCGCAAGCCUGAUCCAGCCAUACCGCGUGGGUGAAGAAGGCCUUCGGGUUGUAAAGCCCUUUUGUUGGGAAAGAAAUCCAUCUGGUUAAUACCCGGGUGGGAUGACGGUACCCAAAGAAUAAACACCGGCUAACUUCGUGCCAGCCGCCGCCGUAA
rnacentral:rRNA from 1 species